UCAUAUGGUAUUACCAAAUGAUCUGCGGGGAACAAUCAACUAUACGUCAUAGGACGCACAGGAAAAACUCGACGUUUAUCGACACCAACGGAGAGGAGAUUCAACUGGGGAAGACCCUGUGGGGAAAGAUAUCAACUAUACGCCAACGGACGCAGAGGAAAAACUCGACGUUUAUCGACACCAACGGAGAGGAGUAAACUUCACUAGGGAAGAGUGAGAACACAACCAAAUUAUCAGCGGAUAAUUGGGAAAAACUCGACGUUUAUCGACACCAACGGAGAGGAGUAAACUUCACUAGGGAAGAGUGAGAACACAACCAAAUUAUCAGCGGAUAAUUGGGAAAAACUCGACGUUUA
rnacentral:lncRNA from 1 species